AAAGGUGUUACUUCCCGAAAAUGAAAUGACGUGUCUUACACAACACCCAUUGUUUGUUCCAUCCGGCAGCCUCUCUAAAGAUGGAAGGAACAAGGGCCUUGGUCCUGUCUAUGUCGCUGGAGCUCCUGGUGGACUGGGACGAUGCCGCACGUUUCCGAGGCUCACAGGCAACGUUUUGGCCCCAGUGUAUAUGCUUGCUCUCCCGCAGUACAGCCUGAGCCUGAGGUGGUGGACUUGGCUUCUACUGCACUUGCCUCUACUGUGUUAUCUUUAGUCCCUUCCCUUGCGUUGCGACGCUUGUCAGAAUUUUACUCAGACAAGCCCCAGAGCCCUUCCCAAGUCUCCUCCUCUAAACGCUCUCCCCCUCCACAUUCCUCAGAGCCUCCCGUCUUCUGAGGCAAAAUCUCAGCUUCUCCAUUGUCAGGGCCUCACCUGUGCAGGCCUCCGCACCACCCCUCCUCUGCCCAGGCACCCCAUGCUCACAUGCCAACUCUGCUCUCUGCACACGGGCCUUGUCCCCUUGUGUCUGCUUCUGUCACUACACGUGCAGUUUCGGCUCACUUCCCACUGCCUGCUGGGAGAAUGUCUUCAUCUUUCUAGGACCAGCGGGCCCAGUAUGCUCUCUGGGAGGACCUCUGCAGCUAUGCAGAGCAGCGGGUGUCUGCAAUCUGCAUUCCUAUAGGGCAUACAUUUAUGCAGUGUGGUGGGCGGGGCCGCCCCCCCACGGCCCCCCACCACAGGCCUGCUCCCCACAGGCGGAGAGAGUGCUGUUAUUUAUGAAGAUACACAACAAAUAAUGUUCUUUUAAAAUAAAGCUUUAUCAUUUGGGCCUUUUGGCUUACCCUCCCAUUAAAUAUUUUUUAUGAAGAAUGAAAAACAAUCACCUCCAUUUCUUUUUCGGAGUCAAGGUUCCCAGUCUGGCUGUCGUCUUCAGGUGAUGACUAGAAGUUUAAAGACAAACAACUUUUUAUUCAAAGAUCUAUUAAAGAGGUCACGUGAGGAAAGUCGUUCCUGCAUGAAGGCUGUACAGCAAUUCUCGCUGAACCCGAGGUGCUGACCCAGCACUGCCGAGUCACCCAGGGCCCAGCAGCCACGUGGGGGCAGAGGACAAGCCAACAGCAGCCAAAGCCCUCAGGAGCUGAGGACCCCUGGAGAGACACACAGGGUUCUUCUAACUGCGGUGACAAGGACAUUGUGGAGCUUGACUCUCUUCUACUUAUCAGGAGGGACAUUUUCUGGUUCUAAUCUUUGAGCUAAGGGUGUGAUUAUUCCAGAUGAUGAACUAUGGCCAACUAAACUGGAGACAGUUUACAAGUGUUAACGGCAGGGAGCAAAGAGGAAACUUCUUACUUUUUUCCUUGUGACCCCACCGUUGUGUUGUUACCGAAUAAUAAAGGAAAGGACAUUAUUAUUUUAGUCAACUCA